GUCAACGCCGUAAACGAUGAAUACUAGGCGUAGGUGACCUUAAAAUCAUCUGUGCCGAAGCAAACGCAUUAAGUAUUCCGCCUGGGAAGUACGGCCGCAAGGCUAAAACUCAAAGGAAUUGACGGGGGCCCCGCACAAGCAGCGGAGCGUGUGGUUUAAUUCGAUGCAACACGAAGAACCUUACCCAGGUUUGACAUACAGGUAGUAGUGAAGCGAAAGCGGAACGAUCUUCGGAAGCCUGUACAGGUGCUGCAUGGCUGUCGU
rnacentral:rRNA from 1 species